GGCAAGGGGCGGGGGAAGGGACCUCAGUGGGCCGAAGGCAGGGCAAGGGGUGGAGCCCAGGAGACAGAGGGCUUGAAAAGGGCCCAGCUGGUACAGGGAGGGAGUAGGGACUCACUGAGGCAGUCCCUAGUCUCCUGUCCCCAGGCCCCAGACCCCAGAGAGCACAGAUACCAGAACUGGGACAAGAUGCCCGCCUGUGCCCGCCACUGCCACUGGCCAGUGGUCCUGGCCCUGCUUUGCUUGACCCUAGGCUGGCUGCAGCAGAAUGCCUGGGUCCAGGGGGCCAAUGCCGACAUACCCCUGGACCCGGCCAAGCAGGCUUCGACUGUUGAUUUGAAAAAGUAUGCCAAGAAUUUGGAGGCCUAUCUCCAAGCCAAGAAGAUCCCCAUCCCCACAACGAGCUUACAGGCAGUUAUGGAUUUCAGGCCCAUCAGGGCACUGUAAGGGUGAGUGCCUGAGGGGAAAAGUUGGGAGGAGGGUGAUGCCAGGCUGGG
rnacentral:lncRNA from 1 species